rnacentral:tRNA from 1 species
UAUAUUUUAGUAUAAGAUGUACAAAAGUUUUUGAGACUUUUAGAGAUAGUUUAAUUCUAUUAAAUGUAA